rnacentral:lncRNA from 1 species
GUCAUUUUCAUAGAUUUAUUCAGAGACUCUGUUAGUCUGCUCAGGCUGGGAUAUGGUUUGGAUGUUUGUCCCCUCCAAAUCUCAUGUUGAAAUAUAAUUUCCAAAAUUGGAGGUAGGUCUUGGUGGGAGGUGAUUGGCUCAUGGGACAGAUCCCUCAUUAGUGGUUUAGCACCAUCUCCUUGGUGAAAGUGAGUUUCCCCUCAGUUCACAUGAGGUCUUGUUGUUUAAAAGAGUCUGGGACCUACCGCUUCUCUGUCUUUCUCGCCACGUGAUAUGUUGGCUUCCCUUUGCCUUCUGCCAUGUUUGUAAGCUUCCUGAGCUUACGUGUGAUAUGUUGGCUUCCCUUUGCCUUCUGCCAUGUUUGUAAGCUUCCUGAGCCCCUUGCCAGGGGCAAUUGCCAGCACUAUGCUUCUGUACUGCCUGCAGAACCAUGAGCCGAUUCAACUUCUUUUCUUUAUAAUUUACCCACUCUCAGGUGUUGCUUUAUGGUAAUGCAAAUUGACUAGCAUAGGCUGCCAUAACAGAAUACCACAAAUUGAGUGUCUUAAAGCACAUAAAAUUAAUUUUCUCACAGUUCUGGAGCUUAGAAAUCCAAUAUCCAUCAGGGUUGGUUUCAGGUAAGUUUUCCCUCUUUGUCUUGUAGGCAGACACCUUCUGGCUGUGUACUCAUAUGGCCUUUUCUCUA